AUCCUGGCUCAGGAUGAACGCUGGCGGCGUGCUUAACACAUGCAAGUCGAACGAUUAACCCGCCCUCGGGCGGUUAUAGAGUGGCGAACGGGUGAGUAACACGUGACCAACCUGCCCCUUGCUCCGGGACAACCCAGGGAAACCUCGGCUAAUACCGGAUACUCCGCGCAGCCCGCAUGGGAGGCGCGGGAAAGCCCAGACGGCAAGGGAUGGGGUCGCGGCCCAUUAGGUAGACGGCGGGGUAACGGCCCACCGUGCCCGCGAUGGGUAGCCGGGUUGAGAGACCGAUCGGCCACAUUGGGACUGAGAUACGGCCCAGACUCCUACGGGAGGCAGCAGUGGGGAAUUUUGCGCAAUGGGGGAAACCCUGACGCAGCAACGCCGCGUGCGGGACGAAGGCCUUCGGGUUGUAAACCGCUUUCAGCAGGGAAUAUAGUGAAGGUACCUGCAGAAGAAGCUCCGGCUAACUACGUGCCAGCAGCCGCGGUAAUACGUAGGGAGCGAGCGUUAUCCGGAUUCAUUGGGCGUAAAGCGCGCGUAGGCGGCCCGUCAAGCGGGGUUUCAAAUCCAGGGGCUCAACCUCUGGCCGGACCCCGAACUGGCGGGCUCGAGUGCGGUAGAGGAAGGUGGAAUUCCCAGUGUAGCGGUGAAAUGCGCAGAUAUUGGGAAGAACACCGAUGGCGAAGGCAGCCUUCUGGGCCGCCACUGACGCUGAGGCGCGAAAGCUAGGGGAGCGAACAGGAUUAGAUACCCUGGUAGUCCUAGCCGUAAACGAUGGGCACUAGGUGUGGGGGAGCAUCUCCUCCGUGCCGCAGCCAACGCAUUAAGUGCCCCGCCUGGGGAGUACGGCCGCAAGGCUAAAACUCAAAGGAAUUGACGGGGGCCCGCACAAGCAGCGGAGCAUGUGGCUUAAUUCGAAGCAACGCGAAGAACCUUACCAGGGCUUGACAUGCGGGUGAAGCCGCGGAGACGCGGUGGCCGAGAGGAGCUCGCGCAGGUGGUGCAUGGCUGUCGUCAGCUCGUGUCGUGAGAUGUUGGGUUAAGUCCCGCAACGAGCGCAACCC
rnacentral:rRNA from 1 species